UCAGGGAAUAGUUUAAGUCGAAUUUCAGCUUUGGGUGCUGGCGGCGAAGCUUAGGGCUUCUUCCUU
rnacentral:tRNA from 1 species